rnacentral:rRNA from 1 species
CACGUAGGCGGGCUGUCAAGUCGGCCGUGAAAGGCACGGGCUCAACCUGUGCAUGUCGGUCGAUACUGGCGGUCUGGAGUAUGGGAGAGGGGAACCUGGAACUUCCCGGUGUAGCGGUGAAAUGCGUAGAUAUCGGGAGGAACACCAGUGGCGAAGGCGGGUUCCUGGCCCAUGACUGACGCUGAGGUGCGAAAGCCGGGGGAGCGAACG